GAUGAACGCUAGCGGCGUGCCUAAUACAUGCAAGUUGAGCGAUGGAGAUCGGUACCUCCACCAAUUUGCAGGGCAGCGAACGGGUGAGUACCGCGUGCGGACUCUGCCUUAGAGCGGGGGACAACAGUUGGAUACGACUGCUAAUACCACAUAACCACUUUAAACAUAAGUUUUAAGUUUGAAAGAUGCAAUUGCAUCACUCAAAGAUGAUCCCGCGUUGUAUUAGCUAGUUGGUGAGGUACAGGCUCACCAAGGCGAUGGUACAUAGCCGACCGGAGAGGGUGAACGGUGAUAUUGCGCCUGGGACACGGCCCAAACGCCAGCGGGAGACAGCAGGAAGGAGUCGUCGACAUUGGACGAAAGUCGGGCCGAGCAACGCGGCGUGAGUGGUGAAGGUUUUAGGAUCGUAAAGCUGUGUUCGGAGUGUAUAACGGAAGUGAGAGUGGAUAGCUCAUCAAGUGACGGUAACUGCCGAGAAAGGAACGGCUAACUACGUG
rnacentral:rRNA from 1 species